rnacentral:rRNA from 1 species
GACGAACGCUGGCGGCAUGCCUAACACAUGCAAGUCGAACGGAGAAUCACUUCGGUGAUUCUUAGUGGCGAACGGGUGAGUAACGCGUAGGCAACCUGCCCUUUGGAUGGGGGACAACAUUCCGAAAGGAGUGCUAAUACCGAAUGUGACAGGAUUCUCGCAUGAGAGUCUUGUGAAAGAUGGCCUCUACAUGUAAGCUAUCGCCAAAGGAUGGGCCUGCGUCUGAUUAGCUAGUUGGUGGGGUAACGGCUCACCAAGGCGACGAUCAGUAGCCGGUCUGAGAGGAUGAACGGCCACAUUGGGACUGAGACACGGCCCAGACUCCUACGGGAGGCAGCAGUGGGGAAUCUUCCGCAAUGGGCGAAAGCCUGACGGAGCAAUGCGCGUGAGUGA